CCCCUAGAUGUUCUGGGCCGCACGCGCGCUACACUGAACAGUUCAACAAGUCUUAACCUUGGCCGAUAGGUCUGGGUAAUCUUUGAACGCUGUUCGUGAUUGGGAUGGACCUUUGCAAUUAUGGGUCUUCAACGAGGAAUUCCUAGUAAACGCAAGUCAUCAGCUUGCAUUGAUUACGUCCCUGCCCUUUGUACACACCGCCCGUCGCACCUACCGAUUGAAUGGUCCGGUGAAAUCUCGGGACGGCGGCUUGGUCGCUUGCGUCCGACUGCUGAAACUUGAUUAAACCAUAUCAUUUAGAGGAAGGUGAAGUCGUANCA
rnacentral:rRNA from 1 species